AGAAUAUAUUCAUCACCAAUGGGUUUUGUUACCAACAGAGCUUCUCUGGAGGACAAGACUAAAGGAAAUUGUCUAAGAAAAGGGAAAAUGGUCCUGAGAAGAAGCAUGGAAAUUCACAACAGAAAGGGGUGUCCCCAUCAGCCAUGUUGAACAGCAGGAGCAGAAGCAGUACAUGAAAUGGUGUAGCUGGUGUAGCUGGAAUAUUGGCUGAAUCUUGAGGAUUGACAAGAGGGCUUGUGGGACAUUCUGGUGGACAUGGCCAGGAGCAGCUGGAUGUUUAGGUCUGGGGCUCCAGUGAGAAGCCUAAUCUGGAGAGAUCCAUCAGAAUCUAGGACAUUGACAACAGAACCAUGGGAGUAGAUGAGAUUCCCCAGAGGACAAGACUUAAGGCAGUUAAUUCUCAACAAGGUAUGCAUGGGGUGGCAUAUCUCCCUGGGAGGGUUUGGAAUCACCAGAGGGGCUUUCCCAAAACACCAACCUUCAAUUUCAGUAAAUACCCUAGGAAGUGUGACCAAAGGAAACUCUUGUCGAUGAGGAUGUGACCUGGGGUAGGAAGAAAUUUGAGACCCUUGGUAAGAAGAAAAUAGAGACAAGGUGGGUACAGAGCAAAGGAAAAAAGGAGCCAGAGAGGAAGAGAGGUUUGAGAAGAUCCAGGAGAAUGAGGAGCCCCAGAUGACAGAGCAGUGACUCUCAACUAUGAAUGUGCACCAGGAGCACUUGUGACACGGAUUCCUGCCCUUCACUGUUCUGAUGCCAUGGGUCCCUAGAAUCCACAUUGUAAAGAGUUCUGCAGGCACUAUUUCUGAAGUAGAGAAUUUCACGAAGACAGGUGUGGUGGACAGGCUUACACCCCCAGAGGGGAUGGGUCCAGCAAGAUAAAGAUCUGUUGGAUUCCACUCUUCAGGAGGUCACCAGUAACCAUGGAAGAGGUAAUUUCGGUGGUGGCAGCGUGGGUGUGGAAGCCAGAUUGCAGUGGGCUGAAGACUGAAUAGGAGGUGAGAAACAGAAGACGGCAAAUGUAGACCCCUUUUAGAAGUUUGGAUGAGAGGCGGAGGCGAGAGCUUCAGCCCCCUCAAAGGCCAACUUCCAUCUCCUGGAGAAACUUGGCAAAGAGGAUUAGGGAAAUCUGGAGGCUGAGUCAGACAUUCCAUGGACCUUAAGAACGCACCAGGAAGGCAAUUUGGGAAUCGGUAAGGGCCGAGCAUACCUCAAGCUGCCAAAUCACAAAACCAAACCCACUGUGCCCUCCUUCCGUCUACCCACUCCAAGUGAGUUCCACCAUAUUCACCGCCCAAGUGAUCGUUCCAUGACUCAUAUCUGACUAUCUUUCAAGUAGGGCACCUACUUGAAACUUCCCAACAGCUACUUUCCCCACUCUCACCCAAGAGAACACCAGGGAACACUCCCAGGGACUACCCAAGUCCCUGACCUUGGCAUUCAAACCCCUUCUGACUCUGGUGAUCGCUCCUUCCCUCUGCAUCUUCACCCCCACCCUCUUCACUGUCAUCUCCCACUGUACCACAUUCACCCUGAACCCAGGCUUCAUAGCAUCACUGGCAGUUCCCCAGUGAACUGUGCUCUCCCGCCCUCAUUAGCCUACUAGUCAGCUUAGACACAGAAAACUCAAGAACCACCUCCUCUGAGAGUUAGUUACUCCCUCCUUUGAGAGAAA